UACGUAGGGUCCGAGCGUUGUCCGGAAUUAUUGGGCGUAAAGGGCUCGUAGGCGGUUUGUCGCGUCGGGAGUGAAAACUCAGGGCUCAACCCUGAGCGUGCUUCCGAUACGGGCAGACUAGAGGUAUGCAGGGGAGAACGGAAUUCCUGGUGUAGCGGUGGAAUGCGCAGAUAUCAGGAGGAACACCGGUGGCGAAGGCGGUUCUCUGGGCAUGACCUGACGCUGAGGAGCGAAAGCAUGGGGAGCGAACAGGAUUAGAAACCCCCGUAGUCC
rnacentral:rRNA from 1 species